rnacentral:lncRNA from 1 species
AAAGAAGACCGAUACUUCUCUUUUUAUUUCAGCCGGCACACAACCGGGAUCCCCCCUUCCCUUCUCUUCUUUUUCUUCGAACUUUUCCUCUCCUUCUCUUCUUCUCUCUUUUCUUCUCUUUUUCUCUCUUUUUCCUUCUCUUCUUCUCUCUUUUUCCUUCUUCUUCUUCUUCUUCUUCUUCUUCUUCUUCUUCUCUCUGUCACCGCCUGAGGCUCCCCCCCUUUUCUUCUCUGUUUCACUCCACCGACACAGCCAACCCAC